GACGAACGCUGGCGGCGUGCUUAACACAUGCAAGUCGAGCGGUAAGGCCCUUCGGGGUACACGAGCGGCGAACGGGUGAGUAACACGUGGGUGAUCUGCCCUGUACUUCGGGAUAAGCCUGGGAAACUGGGUCUAAUACCGGAUAUGACCUUGGACUGCAUGGUCUUUGGUGGAAAGAUUUAUCGGUACAGGAUGGGCCCGCGGCCUAUCAGCUUGUUGGUGGGGUAAUGGCCUACCAAGGCGACGACGGGUAGCCGGCCUGAGAGGGCGACCGGCCACACUGGGACUGAGACACGGCCCAGACUCCUACGGGAGGCAGCAGUGGGGAAUAUUGCACAAUGGGCGAAAGCCUGAUGCAGCGACGCCGCGUGAGGGAUGACGGCCUUCGGGUUGUAAACCUCUUUCGACAGGGACGAAGCGCAAGUGACGGUACCUGUAGAAGAAGCACCGGCCAACUACGUG
rnacentral:rRNA from 1 species